rnacentral:rRNA from 1 species
CCUACGGGUGGCAGCAGUAGGGAAUCUUGCACAAUGGGCGAAAGCCUGAUGCAGCGACGCCGCGUGAGUGAAGAAGUAUUUCGGUAUGUAAAGCUCUAUCAGCAGGGAAGAAAAUGACGGUACCUGAGUAAGAAGCCCCGGCUAACUACGUGCCAGCAGCCGCGGUAAUACGUAGGGGGCAAGCGUUAUCCGGAUUUACUGGGUGUAAAGGGAGCGUAGACGGCAGCACAAGUCUGGAGUGAAAUGCCGGGGCUUAACCCCGGAACUGCUUUGGAAACUGUGCAGCUAGAGUGCAGGAGAGGUACGUGGAAUUCCUAGUGUAGCGGUGAAAUGCGUAGAUAUUAGGAGGAACCCCAGUGGCGAAGGCGGCUUACUGGACUGUAACUGACGUUGAGGCUCGAAAGCGUGGGGAGCAAACAGGAUUAGAUACCCGAGUAGUC